GUAUUUUCGAAUUAGGUAAAAUUCAUGAUACAUGUUCAGACAAACUAGUUUAAAAAGGUUGAUGUAUUUAAGCAGUACUCCUCUCUCGCAGUAAAGGAAAGAGAAGCAAAACUCAAACGUUGCACACAAGGUGGAUAUGGAUUGUUUAAAAAGCGCCAUAAAACGCUUAUUGUGAAUGAUCCUUCCGCAGGUUCACCUACGGAAA
rnacentral:misc_RNA from 1 species